AGCAGCCGCGGUAAUUCCAGCUCCAAUAGCGUAUAUUAAAGUUGUUGCAGUUAAAAAGCUCGUAGUUGAAUUUCGGGGUCAGUAGAUUGGUCGUGCCACUGGUAUGUACUGGUCUUACUGGCUCCUCCUUCCUGAUGAACCGUAAUGCCAUUAAUUUGGUGUUGCGGGGAAACUGGACUGUUACUUUGAAAAAAUUAGAGUGUUUAAAGCAGGCUAACGCUUGAAUACAUUAGCAUGGAAUAAUGAAAUAGGACGUUCGAUCUUAUUUUGUUGGUUUCUAGGAUUGACGUAAUGAUUAAUAGGGAUAGUUGGGGGCAUUAGUAUUCAAUUGUCAGAGGUGAAAUUCUUGGAUUUUAUUGAAGACUAACUACUGCGAAAGCAUUUGCCAAGGAUGUUUUCAUUAAUCAAGAACGAAAGUUAGGGGAUCGAAGACGAUCAGAUACCGUCGUAGUCUUAACCAUAAACUAUGCCGACUAGGGAUCGGAUGAUGUUAAUUUUUAAUGUACUCAUUCGGCGCCUU
rnacentral:rRNA from 1 species